UACGUAGGGAGCAAGCGUUAUCCGGAAUUAUUGGGUGUAAAGGGUGCGUAGACGGGAUAACAAGUUAGUUGUGAAACCCCUCGGCUCAACUGAGGAACUGCAACUAAAACUAUUAUUCUUGAGUGCAGUAGAGGAAAGUGGAAUUCCUAGUGUAGCGGUGGAAUGCGUAGAUAUUAGGAGGAACAUCAGUGGCGAAGGCGACUUUCUGGACUGUAACUGACGCUGAGGCACGAAAGUGUGGGGAGCAAACAGG
rnacentral:rRNA from 1 species